UGCAGGCAAUAAAACUGACUGAGCAGCUGGGCAGAGCUGUAAAGCUGAAUGCUUAUAUACAUUGCUUCCACAGUUAAACUGCAACAAGGAGCCGUGUAGCUGAGUAAAAACUGCUCUGGAUCAAUUACUAUUUUGGAUCGUUAAGAAAAGCUGCUCACAGCAUUGCUGCCUGAACAAUGUCUGAGCAGAGGAAGCAUGGAUCACAGAAUCAAAGAAGAGUGGCUGCUUUGGCUGCCUGAUCAGAAACCUGUUCAUGAGGGAUGCUAAACUAAAAUAGCUACUUAGUGUAAAAUACAAAGCUCUUCAUACUUAGGGUGAAAUCUGGACUCUGGAUUUGAAGAAACCAGAUCAUCAUCCUGAGAAUCUCACCGAUAUCAUCAACCCAUUUCAUAAGGCUUUGUGGCAUCCUGAACUUGGCAGG